rnacentral:ncRNA from 2 species
CAAUCAAUAACAUUCACAGGUGCUCUGCUCCGGAUACACGGAGCGGGUGAAAAGGGAAACAGGUGAGAAUCCUGUGCGAACUCGUCACUGUAUGCAGGGAGUAUCCGUCCACAAGGCCACUGGGAGACCGGGAAGGCGGCCGGAUAUGGAGAUCUGCGAGUCAGGAGACCUGCCUGUGGGAGACAGGGGAU